UGGGAGUGUUGUUUGCUUGGU
rnacentral:siRNA from 1 species